rnacentral:rRNA from 1 species
CAGCAGCCGCGGGAAUACCGAGGGUGCGAGCGUUAAUCGGAUUUACUGGGCGUAAAGCGUGCGUAGGCGGCUUCUUAAGUCGGAUGUGAAAUCCCUGAGCUUAACUUAGGAAUUGCAUUCGAUACUGGGAAGCUAGAGUAUGGGAGAGGAUGGUAGAAUUCCAGGUGUAGCGGUGAAAUGCGUAGAGAUCUGGAGGAAUACCGAUGGCGAAGGCAGCCAUCUGGCCUAAUACUGACGCUGAGGUACGAAAGCAUGGGGAGCAAACAGGAUUAGAUACCCGCGUAGUUCCUGUCUCUUAUAA